rnacentral:lncRNA from 1 species
GCGGUUGUGGGGGUCUGAUGUGUGGUGACUGUGGAUGGCGGUCGGUCGUGGGGUUCUGGUGUGUGGUGACUGUGGAUGGUGGUCGGUCGUGGGGGUCUGGUGUGUGGUGACUGUGGAUGGCGGUCGGUCACGGGGGGUCUGAUGUGUGGUGACUGUGGAUGGCGGUCGGUCGUGGGGGUCUGGUGUGUGGUGACUGUGGAUGGCGGUCGGUCGUGGGGGUCUGAUGUGUGGUGACUGUGGAUGGCGGUCGGUCGUGGGGGUCUGAUGUGUGGUAGCUGCAGGUGGAGUCCCAGGUGUGUCUGUAGCUACUUUGCGUCCCCGGCCCCCCGGCCCCCGUUUCCCAAACAGAAGCUCCCCAGGCGCUCUCUGGGCUUCAUCCCGCCAUCGGGCUUGGCCGCAGGUCCACACGUCCUGAUUGGAAGAAACAAGUGCCCAGCUCUGGCCGGGGCAGGCCACAUUUGUGGCUCAUGCCCUCUCCUCUGCCGGCAGGUCUCUACCUUGACAGACCUCCAGCCGUACAUGCGACAGUUCGUGGCUCACCUGCAGGAGACCAGCCCGCUGAGGGAUGCUGUCGUCAUCGAGCAGGUCUGGGCACUGCCCUGCAGGGUUGGGCACGGACUCCCAGCAGUGGGUCCUCCCCUGGGCAAUCACUGGGCUCAUCACCGGACAGACUGUUGGCCCUGGGGGGCGGUGGGGGGAAUGAGCUGUGGUGGGGGCAUGAUGAGCUGUGUGCCUUGGCGAAAUCUGAGCUGGGCCAUGCCAGGCUGUGACAGCUGCUGCAUUCAGGCACCUGCUCACGUUUGACUGUGCGGCCUCUCUCCAGCUCCGCAGUGCCUUUGUUCAUGAUUUGCUAAAUGUCUUCUCUGCCAGUUUUGAUCUUGAGGCCAAAGGAAAGGUGUCCCCCUCCUUUAGGAGGGCAGGCCAUGUUUGAGCUGCGUCUGCAGGCUCCCGAGGCCCCGGAAACAUGGCUCGGCUUGCGGCAGCCGGAGCGGAGCAGGUGCCACAUGAGGCCUGGAAAUGGCAAGCGGGGUGCGGACUUGCUCCUGUGUGGAGGACGAGGGGCGGGGGGUGUGUCUGGGUCAGGUGUGCGGCCGAGCGUUUGAGCCUGCAGCUUGUCAGCUCCAAGUUACUACUGACGCUGGACACCCGGCUUUCACACGCUUGUAUCUCUCUCUCCCGAUACAAGAGGAUUUUAUCCGAUUCUCAUUCCUGUCCCUGUCAUGUGACGCCCGCGAGGGCGUGGGCUCUUCUCUCUGUGACUGGAUUUCCCAUCUGGAAAGUGCGGGGUUGACCGUGUAGUUUGCUCCUCUCGGGGGGCCUGUGCUGGCCAUGGGGCAGGCGGCCUGGGAGAGCUGCCGUCACACAGCCACUGGGUGAGCCACACUCACGGUGGUAGAGCCACGGUGCCUGGUGCCACAUCACGUCCUCUGGAUUUUAAGUAAAACCACACACCUCCCGGCAGGCAUCUGCCUGCGACCCUGCGUGUGCCCGGGGAGAGUGGUAGCACGGAGGAAAUUCGUGCACACUCAAGGUCAUCAGCAAGGUCAUCCGCAAUCAGGUGGAACGUGGAGGCCUCUCUCUGGGAUCGUCUCCAGCGGAUAAAGGACUGUGCACAGCUUCGGAAGCUUUUAUUUAAAAAUAUAACUAUUAAUUAUUGCAUUAUAAGUAAUCACUAAUGGUAUCAGCAAUUAUAAUAUUUAUUAAAAUAUAAUUAGAAAUAUGAAGUAGUACACACAUCCUGGAAAAACGCAAAUUGCACAUGGCAGCAGAGUGAAUUUUGGCCGAGGGACACGUGUGCACAUGUGUGUAAGCGGCCCCCAGGCCCACAGAAUUCGCUGACAAAGUCACCUCCCCAGAGAAGCCACCACGGGCCUCCUUCCUGGCCGUGAAUUUUAUUAAGAUGGAUCAAGUCACGUGCCAUCCACGUGUGGCAGGGCUUUGGGGAAUGUGAGGUGAUGACUGCGUCCUCAUGCCCUGACAGACAGGAGGUGACUGUGUCUGUCCUGUCCCUAGGACACGGACAGACCCGAAGCUCUAGUCCCCAUCGUGGUCCAGUUUGGCCUCUGAAUAAAAACGUCUUCAAAACCUGUUGCCCCAAAAACUAAGAACAGAGAGAGUUUCCCAUCCCAUGUGCCCACAGGGGCGUAUCUGCUUGCGUUGACCCGCUGGGCUGGCCGGACUCCUAGAGUUGGUGCGUGUGCUUCUGUGCAAAAAGCGCAGUCCUCUUGCCCGUCACUGUGAUAUCUGCACCAGCAAGGAAAGCCUCUUUUUUCUUUCUUUCUUUCUUUUUUUUUUUUUUUGAGACAGAACGUCACUGUUGUCUGCCCGGGCUUGAGUGCAGUGGCGCGAUCUCAACUCACUGCAACCUCUGCCUCCCGGGUUCCAGCAUUUCUCCUGCCUCAGCCUCCCGAGCAGCUGAGAUUACAGGCACCCACCCCCUGUGCCUGGCUAAUUUUUGUAUUUUUAGUAGAGAGGGGUGUUUGCCAUGUUGGCCAGGCUGGUCUCGAACUCCUGACCUCAGGUGAUUCACCCACCUCGGCCUCCCAAAGUGCUGGGAUUACAGGUGUGAGCCAUCACGCCCAGCCAGAAAGCCUCUUUUUAAGGUGACCACCUACAGCGCUUCCCGAAAAUAACAGGUCUUGGUUUUGCAGUAGGCUGCAAGUGUCUCUUAGCAACAGGAGUGGCGUCCUGUGGGCUCUGGGGGUGGCUGAGGGUCGCGUGGCAGCCAUGCCUUCUGUGUGCACCUUUAGGUUCCACGGGGCUAUUCAGCUCUCACUGUUUGUCUGAAAACGCACCCUUGGCGUCCUUGUUUGGAGAGUUUCUGCGUCUCGUUGGUCGUGCUGAAACUAGGGGCAAGGUUGUAUCCGUUGGCGCACAGCGGCUACAUGUAGGGUCAUGAGUCUUUCACCGUGGAUAAAUGCCUUGAAAAAAAAAAAAAAGGAGUCCGGUUAAGCAUUCAUUCCGGGUCAAGUGUCUGGUUCUGUGAAUAAACUCUAAGAUUUAAGAAACCUUAAUGAAAGAAAGCC